rnacentral:rRNA from 1 species
AUUGAACGCUGGCGGCAGGCCUAACACAUGCAAGUCGAACGAGUGGCGGACGGGUGAGUAAUGUCUGGGAAACUGCCUGAGGGAGGGGGUUAACUAAUGGGAACGGUAGCUAAUACCGCAUACCAUCAGAUGUGCCCAGAUGGGAUUAGCUUGUUGGUGGGGUAACGGCUCACCAAGGCGACGAUCCCUAGCUGGUCUGAGAGGAUGACCAGCCACACUGGAACUGAGAAAGGGUCCAGACUCCGACGGGAGGAAGCAGUGGGGAAUAGUGCACAAUGGGCGCAAGCCUGAUGGAGCCAUGCCGCGUGUAUGAAGAAGGCCUUCGGGUUGUAAAGUACUUUCAGCGGGGAGGCGUUACCCGCAGAAGAAGCACCGGCUAACUCCGUGCCAGCCGCCGCGGUAAUAC